rnacentral:rRNA from 1 species
CCUAAAAUAUUAAUAGUUAUAUUCUUUAAACUUGAAGAAUUUGGCGGUGUUCUAGUCCAGUUAGAGGAACUUGUUUUUGGAUCGAUAAACCACGUAAUAUCUUGCUUGUUUUAUUUAGUUUGUAUACCGUCAUUAUUAGAUGAUUUUUGAAGAAUAAAUCAUUAAAAUUUAAAUAUUUAAAUAAAAUUAGAUCAAGGUGCAGCUUAUAAACAAGUUAAAAUGAGUUACAAUAAAACUUAUUUAUUACGGAGUAGUUAGUAUGAAAUAAUACUAUAAAGGUGGAUUUAAUUGUAAUUUAAAUUUAAGAAGUUUAAAAGAUAUAGGUUCUAGACCAU